rnacentral:lncRNA from 1 species
UUGAAACAACAACUAUAAUUGGGGUACGACUCAUCAUUUAAAAGGAACAAGGGAAAAACCUUGUGAAACCCGAGUGAAAGGGAUAACAAUCGGGCUUAGCCCCUUUUUAAGAAGAAAGACAGGUAUUCAAGUGAUACGAAUCAAUCAACAAACAUAACAACUUCAGGAUCACAAGUUUAGUGUCAUGCUUCAGAUAACCAACAUUUGGAAUGAAAUACUUGUGAAUUGAAAGUCUCAGCUCAACAAAAUAUAUAUUGUUUAGAGUCACAACAUAACGGUCUUAAGUUAAGGAAACAAAGGCAUAUAUUAACUAGUUCUACAGCAGAAGUCAAAACACGGAGUUGAACCCUAGCCUCAGCUCGCCCCGUCAGCACCAGCCGUUAACCUGAAAAACAUUUGAAGACAUUUGGGCUAAGUACUAAUGUACUUAGUGGGCUAGCAACUUUUGAAACAUUUCAUAAUCUGAAGGGCAGUUUAUCCAAUCAUACUUGACAUGACUUAAAAGGUUUUUAAAGUGAAAGAACUUCUAAGCAUGUUAAAACAUUUCAUUUUAUAUAUAUAUAUAUAUAUAUAUAUAUAUAUAUAUAUAUAUAUAUGCGCGCAGAUGUCACACUCAUUUCUGUUACUCGCUGUGAUCCCGGACCUUUUAGCCACCGACGGAUCCAUUUCUCCCAUUUACUUGAACUGAGGGCGUAACCCAGACAAGUUUCUUUUAACCUCGGGACGCUACCCAGGCAGACAUGCUUCGGAACACAUCCAACAAGCACCCUUAAUUAUAACGCCUCUUAGUUAGUGCCCGAUGGAGAUCAACCCACCAGAUCAGCUAACGAGUGUACAUAAUUCUCAAAUAACGUGUUAGGCCAUAAGAGAACCUUAAUUGAUUCGUUGUGGCGAGCCUUAAACAGAGCAGAGUGCACAUAAAUAUUUUAUUGGAUAAACAGUUUAUAUUUCACGAAACAUUUAAGCUCAUUAGCUCAAUCAUACAUUUGGAAAAUAAGCCCACCUGUUUAGGCAAAGCCUGUCGUUUAACCUUAUUUCUGAAUCGGAAAAGCAGUGCUAAUCCUCCUGA